rnacentral:misc_RNA from 1 species
GAUGAAGAACGUAGCGAAAUGCGAUACUUGGUGUGAAUUGCAGAAUCCCGUGAACCAUCGAGUCUUUGAACGCAAGUUGCGCCCGAAGCCAUUAGGCCGAGGGCACACCUGCCUGGGCGUCACACGUCGUUGCCCCCCCAUCUACUCCUUCGGGAUUGCGGGGGGCGGAUGAUGGCCUCCCGUGCGCCUCGUCGCGCGGUUGGCAUAAAUGCCAAGUCCUCGGCGACGCACGCCACGACAAUCGGUGGUUGCGAAACCUCGGUUGCCCGUCGUGUGCGGUCGUCGCGCAUCGAGGGCUCGAAAAAAUUGCCGGGCUCCGGCUCGGCUUUCAACGCGACCCCAGGUCAGGCGGGGUUACCCGCUGAAUUUAAGCAUAUCAAUAAGCGGAGGA